rnacentral:snoRNA from 1 species
GCUGGAUAUGAUGAAAGAACUCCGGAUGUUAAAUCAUAUUAUCUCCGAGAGCGCAAAACCAUGUGGAGACUUUCCGUUGCCUUCCUUCUGAUCCCAA